rnacentral:rRNA from 1 species
AUUGAACGCUGGCGGCAUGCCUUACACAUGCAAGUCGAACGGUAACAGGUCUUCGGAUGCUGACGAGUGGCGAACGGGUGAGUAAUACAUCGGAACGUGCCUAGUAGUGGGGGAUAACUACUCGAAAGAGUGGCUAAUACCGCAUGAGAUCUACGGAUGAAAGCAGGGGAUCGCAAGACCUUGUGCUACUAGAGCGGCCGAUGGCAGAUUAGGUAGUUGGUGGGAUAAAAGCUUACCAAGCCGACGAUCUGUAGCUGGUCUGAGAGGACGAUCAGCCUAACUGGGACUGAGACACGGCACAGACUCCUACGGGAGGCAGCAGUGGGGAAUUUUGGACAAUGGGCGAAAGCCUGAUUCAGCAAUGCCGCGUGCAGGAUGAAGGCCUUCGGGUUGUAAACUGCUUUUGUACGGAACGAAAAGCCCCGGGUUAAUACCCUGGGGUCAUGACGGUACCGUAAGAAUAAGCACCGGCUAACUACGUGCCAGCCGCCGCAGUAA